UUUUUUUAGAUAAAAAAUACCUACCUAUCUACUACUCUAACAACAUUUUUUUGCAUUAUAAUAUAAGACAAUAUUAUAUACUUAAAAUAAAAGAUAGAUUUGCUCAGAUAAGAAUAAUAUAUACUCAUUAGCUCAUACUUGAACUGUAAAACUGACUGCUAGAGACAACUUUCUUUGGAAUUCAAUUGGUUAGGUAGUUAACAAAUUGGUAACUCAACUAAUACAACAAGAAACGAAGUGACAAUGACAAAGAAACAAAAUGAUCUGUCGGACUGUAAUUGUCAAAGUGAAGUUAGUGUUAAGGAAUGAAGGGUUACCAAAGAAAGAAACGAUAACAACCCAGCACAACCAACUGUAGAAACCCAAACCGACUCCCUUAAGAUGAUUGAACAUAUAUUCUCAAAGAAAUCUGAAAAUAUUGACCUUGUCCUCCAACAAAUGAGUACUUUACUCCAACUCAUAACAUCAUUAAUCUCCAGAUUGGCCCAGUGGCUAUUCUAAAGAUGGCCACCUGGAACAUUAAUGGACUUGCCCACAACACACAUGAAGUAGAAGUACUACUUCAUAUGCAUAAAUUUGACAUAUUAUUAAUAGCAGAGACCCAUUUUGACAGUAAUAGCUUAGUUAAAAUAAGAGGAUAUGAUACUUAUUCAACAAAUCAUCCAGAUACAACGGCUCAUGGAGGAACUGCAGUUAUUAUUAAAUCAACCAUUAGACAUCAUGAGCAGCCAAAAUUUUGCACAGACUACAUCCAGGCUACUUCUGUUUCAGUCUCAGAUGUGUGUGACCUGUACCGAGUUAUACUCUACUGAAACGUCCGGGCAACUAGAGCGGCUUUUUUCUUUAGACAGUCAAACGUCCAGGCAACCAGAGUGGCCCAGUCGACUUGCGUAUUUAUUUUGUGUUAUAAUCUGUAGUAUGAGAGAAUUAGCUUGUCAAAUACGAUUUUUAAGACUCUAUGGUAAGAAAUUGUAAUAGGCUUAUCUUUAAAUAUCAAGUAUCCGAGCAAAAAUUAAAAGAAAUAAUUAAUUGAAAAUCGGUUUGCGGGGGGAAUUGUCAUUUGUUUAUUUUUGUAGUGUCAAGUGUUUUGUUAUUGUUUUGUUUAUCAUGUAAGUGUAAUAUUUUAAUUACGUAUUAUAUUUGUUUUAUAUAUGAAAUUAAUCCUCAUGAUAUCUAGUUUCCGAUUUUAUCUACAAAUUACAUAUAAAAUUCUUCUUACGACAUUAAAUCGACAAGUUAUAACAGUAUGAUCGAUACUACUUUAUCGAUUUGGUUUAAAUAUCAAAUUUUUAUUGUAAUCCAAUUAAUUAACAGUAAAUCAUUGCUUGUAAUAGGGACAAAAUAUCAUUAAUAUAAUGUUUAUAAUAUUCAACAAUCUGGAUGUAUUGAGACAACCAAGUAUUUCACGUUUUACUUGUGCAUUCCGCAGAUAAAUUGUAGGUAUAUACUAAGAAUGGGUGCUUUAUUUUAGUUUAAUGCAACAAUCCCGUAAGUCGAAGUAAUGACAUAUUAAUAUCAAAAAAUAGGUUAUAUAGUCUAUUUCAAUAAUAAUCAAGUUGUAUUAAUGUGUGCGCUAAUAUUUUACAUAAAAACUUAAUAUAAUGAAAAUGUUAUCACAUUUCUACCUAUAAUCUCGAGCUUUAACCUUUUAUUUAUAUAUAACUUGGGUUCAAAAACAUAAUUUAUGAUUUUACACGUUGAUUUUCUAUACUUUUAACUACGUGAAUGUAUUUUUUAUAUAGCCAUAGGUGGAGUCGUUAUGUAAUUAUAUCGCUUUUAAUAAUGAUGAAUCUCGCGCUCGCCGUCGGAUAAUCUUAAUCGCGUCAUCGGACGUUUCGCUACCUGCCAGCUGUCAUUAAUCGGACGUUGCAAUAGUUAGAUAAGCUUACACUUAUUUUUUUUAAUUAUUUUGAUAUCGUAAUUAUGAUCAUUCGUAUCUUACUGAACAGUUUAUUCAAUUGAAACAACGAACUUCGCUCGUGACGGAAAUCUCCCGAUCACUUAUUUCCUUUUUUAAUUUAUAAUAAUAUUACAAGAAAGGCAUACUUUAAAGAUAUAUAUAUUUUUAUAGAUCAAAGUACGAGAUAUCGGUUCGGCAAAAUCAGCAUCCGGUUGAUUCCAUAAAGUGUCUAUGCGUGUCAAAAAUUUCUUGAAAGACAUGCGGUUAUGUUUCGUCAACGUGAUGCGGGUGGUAUUUUGCAUGUUGACGUAAAUUUUUACUUAUUAAAGAUGUAAAGUAUUACAUUGAAUUAAAAUUUAAUUAAAAAGUGGACGGAAGUUACUGGUUUGCUCUCCACGGGACAGUGAGCCCUCCAGAGGAAUCAAUAAAUUAAAGGUGGCUCCAAACGGAAAUAUCCCAAUCGCUGAUUUGCUCUUUAAUUUUUUAAUAAUAUUAUAAGAUAGACAUAUAUUUUUAUCAUCGGAUUCCGAAUAAUAAAAUUAUAAAAAUAACUUGUCUUAUUAUUUCUACUCAAUACUUUUCGUUCACUAUAUCAAAACCAUUAAGUUCAUUCGUGCGAUUAUCUCCAACUCUAUGAAUUGGUUCUCUGUACGCCAUAUUUGUUUACUAUUUAAGACGAGUAAGAAAAAUUAGACUCUAGGCACAGUUGACAUGUUAUACGUAUUUUUUACAUACAGUAGUUUAAAUACAGUGAAGUUUAUAUAAUCUUUAAAAACUUCCAGGCUACAAAGGAAUAUGUUUAGUACCAAAAUUGACAGAAGGUGAAAUUUGCCUCGAAAUUGUUCAGCCAAACGGUGGCAUAAAAUAUGGGCUAUCUUGCAGUUAACACAUCAUUCCAGAGGAAGCAAAAAAUACUGCUGAUAUUAUAUUGUUCUUUGAUCAACUAUUUGAUUCAGUCAAUGGAAGUCAUGGGAAAAGAAAUGUGUACGCCAAGCCCCUGCUAGGACCUGCGACACCAUCUUCUAUACACCAUAAAACAUGGAGUCCAUAAAAUUCCUUAAGGAAAUGAAAUUUAUUCAUUGUAAACUAUUAAAUAAUGAAUAUGUUCCAACAAUAAAUAUUUGGAUAUGGACACUAGGAGGUAUAAAAAUAUUAUUGAACAAGCUGGUAUCAAAAUAUAAUAUAAAAUCAGUAUGGUUGCGGCAUCUGAAUCAAGAUACAAUAGAAAACUUUUUUGGGUCCAUCAGGAGCUAUGGAUUGCUUAUUAAUAGCCUGUCUAGUGUCCAUGCUGGAGCUAAUUGUGAUGUGGAUAAUUGUUACAUCACACAGGCGGUUGCAGCAAAGUCCAUAGAAAUGUACAUCUACAAAAUAUUCCAGAUAUCACAUUCACACCUCUUGAAGAAAAAAACGACCCAAGAAAAAUUGGAGGGCUGCAAUACGUUAGUGGAUAUUUUAUUAAUUGUGCUAAGGCAAAAGUCUUCAAGGGGUGUGAUGAAUGCAAAAAAAAAAUUAUGUCUGAGGAUGAGCCUGAGUAUUUAAGAUACAGGGAAUAUGUAAUUCACAAAGAAAAUUUAAUAGAUUUCUUAAUUAAAAUAUCCUGCAGAUACUUCAUAUACAACUACUGUAAAGAUAUCAAUAAAAUUUUAGUCAACAAGAAAGAGUGUGAUGAUGAUACAGAUUUGCAUAAAAUAAAGGUGAAGAAAAUGUUUAAUAAAUAUUUCAUUUAAAAAAACAUUGAUAUCCAAAAUGAACAUUGUUUCAUUAAUUAUUACUUUUCGGUGAACAUUACAAAUUAAAUCAAAAUAAUAAGCAGCUAUAGCUAGCUAGGUUGUUGGUAUAUGUAAACGUAUACCUGUAUAGAUGAUAGAUAUAACUCCAGAACAAAUCUUUAGAGGGCGACACUUACCGUUACUGGUUUAGAUCGCGGAGUUAGACCUCUAUUUCAGUUUUAAUAUAAGGUACUGUGUAUAAUAUUUAUUCAACUAAAACUCACUUCAAGUUAAUACGACUCUAUUAUUGUCUGCAUAACAAACAUUUGUAUUAAUAUUGUCUCCAUCAUUUAACACGACAUCAAAAACAAUUCCAAAGCAAUCAAUUUUGUGAAAAUAAAUGCCUUUUAUGCAAAAAAACGUU